rnacentral:tRNA from 1 species
GCGCCGGUAGCUCAGGGGACAGAGCAUCAGUCUUCGGAACUGAGGGUCGAGGGUUCGAAUCCUUCCCGGCGCGCCA